CUCUGCUGGUGGACAUUCAUGUUCGCCCACAGGCUGUUCUGGCUGUGGAUACUGGAUUUCUGCAGAUCUUGACCAAAGACAGUCUGACGCUGAGAUGUGAGGUUGAGGGAAGCUCUGUUGGAUGGAGCUACACAUGGUACGCAGAUGGAUCUCAGCUUCCUGAAGACCAGGAUGGACAGAACUUCACUGUGAGAUCUGGGAAUGGCUCCUAUCACAAGGAAUACAGAUGUAGAGGGAAAACAACUGAAGAACCAUUUUACUCCACAAUCAGCAACGGUUUGGUGCCCAGUAUCAUUAGAUUGCAGUAUGUUUUCACGGCGUCUGGCUCUCUGGUUUUCAUCGUAAGCCUGGUGCUGAUCAUACUUUGCGUGAAAUAUUGCAAGAAGUCAGGUCAAAGGAGGAAAGAGGAGGAAACAUUUUACUGUAACAUUAGAUCAGAAGACGUGUGUGCAGGAGACACAGACCAACCUUCCACCAUUUAUGGAAACAUUGACUUGAGAAACAGCAGGUCAAUCCUGUAGAACAUGCUUUUUAUUCUGCUGCAUGGUCAAUGCCUUUAGAAUGAGCUGGUAUCGCAAUUAAUAAUAUUUUAUCAGUUUUUGUCAUAGAAUACGGUUCUCAUGAGUUUUAUGUUUUUCUUAAGCGAUCAUUUAUUUUAUAUCUCAGCUACAGACCUGUUGUAUAUAAGUAUUUGCAUAUUAUGUUUACAUUUUAUUAACACCUGCAUGCAUGGAAAAUGUGAGCAGGUCUUUACUUGUUCUUUUUAGCUCUUGUUGACCAAAAGCAUCUGCUAAAUAAAUUAUUAUAAAUGUAACUACAUUUCGAUGAGCGUAGCUCAGUGUCACCUGCGCUGUUGCUGAGUGAUUCAGUGGUUUUAGUAUCUUUAAAAAUAACACACAUAGCCUCUAGCCUGUGGGUAACACCGUCAUGCAACAACCACACGAUGUUCUCCUGAAGUCUUCUAAAAGGGUUUCUGAGCUCCGCUAAAUAACUUCGUUCCCACGCUUGUGAUCAGUCGUGAAUCUUCUCUAAAGUUUCGUUUUGUCUUUAAAAGAUUCAUCCAUCCAUUCAUUAUUCUAUAAUUUCUCCCUAUAUUCCCAGUCUCAGCCACCUUCCCACAGCAUGACACCACUGCCUCCCUGCUUCCCAGUAGUGAUUCUGGGCCAUCAGCAGUGGGCUUUUGAGUUUUUAUUCUGAUUUUGAAGUUUAUAUGUAACUGACUCUUAAGGCGUAUACCACAAAAUCAGUUUAGCUGAUUUAACCAAGUUACUUGGGGUUUCAGUACAGUAAGUCCUUGGGUUGAGAACAUCUGACUUACAGACAGCUUGUACUUACAAAUGGACUGCCAUAAAGCCUUCAUAUAAAAAAUUUGAGUUAAAUACAAUGGUUCGUAAUAACAAACGCAUGCACUACUUUGUGACACUAAUGAAAACAUUGUGCAGCUACAGCAAUUGUUGUAAUGUUACCUCAGGAAUGUCCCAUUCGGUAUGAAAGACAUCGAUGGAACAAGAGCAAGUGUCAGCCUUCAGUUGUGAUGUUUUUUCCUUUUUUUCUGACUGAACUGUUGUGUUUUUUACAGUACUGUAUACCUACACACAUACACGCACAGAUUCUCUCUCUCUCCAGUUUGCCUACAGUACUUCAUGCAGAAUUUUUACAAUAACUGUAUUAUUAUUAUUCUUAUUAUUAUUAAGUCUCCACACACAUGCAUGUGCAUUUAUAUGUAUGUAACAGUUUUGUCACAUUUUAAAUAGUCUGUAGAGUUUGCAAACUACCCCAAUGAUUUUGAUGUAGCUGUUAUGUUUAUAAUAGAAUAAUAUAGAUUUGCCGUAAGAUUUCUUGCAUGAGUGUGAGAGUCUGAAAGCAUGAGUGAAACGCCAGAUGUGUGAGAGUCGGCAACCCUGUGUACAGUAUUAUUUUAUUUAAGAUGCAUUAGUGUAUUUGGAAGUUUUUAAGUGUUUUAUAUACAUAGAAAAGUAAAGUACAUACUAUACCCUAAGACAUGUUUGACUGAUGCUAUAUAAGAACCAUAUGUACUUGUUCUGACUUACAUACAAAUUUGACUUAUAGACAGACUUGGGAACAGAUCUUGUUUCUAACCUGAGGACUGCUUUGUACUACAAAAGGUAGCUCACUUGUACAGUAAGUGUACAUGUUGUCAUAGUAAUUUAGCCUGUGACCCUAUCCUGCUCCAAGCAGGGGCCUGUAUCAUGAAGCAGGAUUUCUUGCUUAGCCAGAUAACUUGUCAGAUUAAAGGUAAUCUGGGCUAAAUGUACGUCAACAACAUUUAAGUCCAUUUGAACUGGACUUAAACUGAUUUUGGUAAUGCAUGUUUCCAUGUACAUUUUGGUCUAAAAUUUUGUUUUUAGUGGUAAUACAAAGGUCUUAAAGUCUUAAACUUGUCUGAUACUUGUAUUUGUCUGAAAUACAGGGAUGAUAUGAUUUUCAUGUUUAGAUAGGUAUUGGUUUUGUUAUUUUAAAGUUUCUACAAACAAGAAGUGCAUAGUGUUGCUAAAUGUAUUUGUGGUUUUCAAUAUAGAACUUGGUGAAAUGAUUGUAGUUUCUG